rnacentral:rRNA from 1 species
GACGAACGCUGGCGGCGCGCCUAACACAUGCAAGUCGAACGAGCGAGAGAGAGCUUGCUUUCUCAAGCGAGUGGCGAACGGGUGAGUAACGCGUGAGGAACCUGCCUCAAAGAGGGGGACAACAGUUGGAAACGACUGCUAAUACCGCAUAAGCCCACAGCUCGGCAUCGAGCAGAGGGAAAAGGAGCAAUCCGCUUUGAGAUGGCCUCGCGUCCGAUUAGCUAGUUGGUGAGGUAAUGGCCCACCAAGGCGACGAUCGGUAGCCGGACUGAGAGGUUGAACGGCCACAUUGGGACUGAGACACGGCCCAGACUCCUACGGGAGGCAGCAGUGGGGAAUAUUGCACAAUGGGGGAAACCCUGAUGCAGCGACGCCGCGUGGAGGAAGAAGGUCUUCGGAUUGUAAACUCCUGUUGUUGAGGAAGAUAAUGACGGUACUCAACAAGGAAGUGACGGCUAACUACGUGCCAGCAGCCGCGGUAAAACGUAGGUCACAAGCGUUGUCCGGAAUUACUGGGUGUAAAGGGAGCGCAGGCGGGAAGACAAGUUGGAAGUGAAAUCUAUGGGCUCAACCCAUAAACUGCUUUCAAAACUGUUUUUCUUGAGUAGUGCAGAGGUAGGCGGAAUUCCCGGUGUAGCGGUGGAAUGCGUAGAUAUCGGGAGGAACACCAGUGGCGAAGGCGGCCUACUGGGCACCAACUGACGCUGAGGCUCGAAAGUGUGGGUAGCAAACAGGAUUAGAUACCCUGGUAGUCCACACCGUAAACGAUGAUUAUUAGGUGUUGGAGGAUUGACCCCUUCAGUGCCGCAGUUAACACAAUAAGUAAUCCACCUGGGGAGUACGACCGCAAGGUUGAAACUCAAAGGAAUUGACGGGGGCCCGCACAAGCAGUGGAGUAUGUGGUUUAAUUCGACGCAACGCGAAGAACCUUACCAAGUCUUGACAUCCCUUGACGAACAUAGAAAUAUGUUUUCUCUUCGGAGCAAGGAGACAGGUGGUGCAUGGUUGUCGUCAGCUCGUGUCGUGAGAUGUUGGGUUAAGUCCCGCAACGAGCGCAACCCUUACUGUCAGUUAUUACGCAAGAGGACUCUGGCAGGACUGCCGUUGACAAAACGGAGGAAGGUGGGGAGGACGUCAAAUCAUUAUGCCCUUUAUGACUUGGGCUACACACGUACUACAAUGGCGUUAAACAAAGAGAAGCAAGACCGCGAGGUGGAGCAAAACUCAGAAACAACGUCCCAGUUCGGACUGCAGGCUGCAACUCGCCUGCACGAAGUCGGAAUUGCUAGUAAUCGUGGAUCAGCAUGCCACGGUGAAUAAGUUCCCGGGCCUUGCACA